AGCCCUCAAUUUCCCCCUCUCUCUCUCUAAAACUCCCAAAAUUACCACCGGUUGAAUCGCGCCCUCUCUCUCCCAACCUUACCUCAUAAUAGCCCCUCUCCCUUUCUCUCUACAGUAGCUUUGAUUUUCCAAAUCCCCCCAUUCACUAAUCCACCCCUUUUUACCAUCUCCUCAUCAUCACAAAUUCCAGUCAGAUUCCACUUCCUUUUUCGCUUUCCCCCCUAUUUCACUCCCAAAAUGAACAACCUCCUCCCCCCCGGCCUCGUUUCCAAUCUCCAGGAUGCUCUCGCGAAUCGCAAGCCGGGCGAAGACGACGAUUCCGCCCUCCCCUCGCUCUCGGAGGACGAGGAUAACUCGAAGCCCGUGAUUUUUAUCACUAAUAGCGAUGGGAUUGAAUCCCCCGGGCUCUCUUUUCUGGUCAAUGCGCUCGUUGAGGAAGGCGCUUACAAUGUCAACGUCAUCGUCCCUCAAUCGGAUAAAUCGACAUCAGGGCAUUCGGUGUCGCUCAAGGAGACUAUUGAGGUGGCUUCAGUGCAGGUUAAGGGAGCCACGGCAUAUGAAAUUUCUGGAACUCCGGUGGAUUGUGUAUCGCUAGCGUUAUCCGGUGCACUGUUUUCAUGGACAAAGCCUCUUUUGGUUGUAAGUGGUAUCAACAAGGGUUCGAGCUUUGGACACCACAUGUAUUAUUCGAGCGUUGUUGCUGGAGCUAGGGAAGCCCUGGUUUAUGGCGUGCCGUCCAUCUCAAUAUCGCUUAACUGGCAGAAGGAUGUAAGUCAGGAGAGUGACUUCAAAGAUGCUGUGACUGUUUGCUUACCGAUAAUAAAGGCAGCCAUGAGAGAUAUAGAGAAGGGGGUAUUCCCAAAAGGUUUCUCGUUGGAUUUGGAACUUCCGACGUCACCCUCUGCAAACAAGGGAGUCAAAGUUACCAAGAGAAGCCACUGGAGGUCCAACCUUAACUGGCAAGCCAUUUCAAACACCCGAGCCCAGGCUGCUACACGUUUCACCGGCGGUCAGCCAGCCAUGGGACUGAAUAUUGCCCAACUCAGCCGUGACGCAUCUGCUGCUGGUGCUGCUCGUCGUCUGACAACUCAGAAAAAGGAUAUUGAGGUUGUGGAAUCGGUUGGUUCAUCACCGAAAGCUCACUUCAAAAAGACAGUCAAGUACUUCCGUGCAGAGAUGCUCCCCAAGGACAACAAGGAAGAGGGCGAGGAUCUGGAUUUCAAGGCCGUUGAGAAUGGCUUUGUUUCACUCACUCCUUCCUACGCCUCCGUGGAUUCAGAGGCCGAUGCUGAAGCUCUGAACUGGAUAAAGUCUGCAGUUCUAGAGGGACAAUAGGAGGAAGACUAGACGAAGAGGCGAGCUGUCGGAACUUAUUUGUACAUUUGAAGCCUCGGGCCUUAAUCGUCUGUCACAUCAACUAGUUUAUUUCCCAUAUUUUGUGAGGCAAACGCUUCAGCUGCUAGCUUUUUUUUUCUCUACCAGUUUCUUACUACUCAAAAAUGGAUCAUAGGUUGGUUUUUUGGUUCUUGAUUUUAUGUUUUUUUUGUGUAUCCUCAAAUUCUGGUUUUUGAGGUUGGUGUAUUGGUUUGUGGUAUAAACUCUCUGUUUUAACAGAAAAAAUAGGGUUUUUUUGAUGAUGAAAUUUUCUUGCAUUUUA